CAAUAGCGUAUAUUAAAGUUGUUGCAGUUAAAAAGCUCGUAGUUGAAUUUUUGCUUGCCGCCGAUGUCGGAACUUCCGUACGUUCGGCGGCGUGCAUCCUUGGGUGGAACCUGUGUGGCAUUAGGUUGUCGUGCAGGGGAUGCUCAUCGUUUACUGUGAAAAAAUUAGAGUGUUCAAAGCAGGCUUACGCCGUUGAAUAUAUUAGCAUGGAAUAAUAAGAUAGGACCUUGGUACUAUUUUGUUGGUUUGCGCACCGAGGUAAUGAUUAACAGGGACAGUUGGGGGUAUUCGUAUUCCAUUGUCAGAGGUGAAAUUCUUGGAUUUCUGGAAGACGAACUACUACGAAAGCAUUUACCAAGGAUGUUUUCAUUAA
rnacentral:rRNA from 1 species